rnacentral:rRNA from 1 species
UACGUAGGGCGCAAGCGUUGUCCGGAAUUAUUGGGCGUAAAGAGCUCGUAGGCGGUUUGUCGCGUCGGCUGUGAAAACUCGGGGCUCAACCCCGAGCCUGCAGUCGAUACGGGCAAACUAGAGUGUGGUAGGGGAGACUGGAAUUCCUGGUGUAGCGGUGAAAUGCGCAGAUAUCAGGAGGAACACCGGCGGCGAAGGCGGGUCUCUGGGCCAUAACUGACGCUGAGGAGCGAAAGCGUGGGGAGCGAACAGG